rnacentral:lncRNA from 1 species
AAAGCUGGCUGGAGACGCCGCCGGGGUAGCGCGCGCAGAUCCCGGGUGUGGGGCCGGGGCUCAGUUCUGUGCUUUUCUGUGUUGAAGCCUGGAUCUCAGAGCUGAUGAAGGACAGUGUCCAGGGACUCAGGUCCACUUUUUAAGGGCCAUGAUUCCACUUUGCUGCCCAAGCAAGGAAGCACAAACUCAAAGAUGGAAGGUCCAAAGUCGGAAAGGGCAGGUGAGCUGAUCAAUGGGAGCGUCUUCACAUCCAGCACAGAAAUUCUUCUUUCCUAACAAAUUCCACUGUUCAACUUGUUUCAAACUCCAGAAUGAGUAACUGCAUACGUUAAAAAGUGCAUUUAUAUCCAGAGGGGAGUGUUUGUAUAUAUGUUUUAGUUAAUAAAUAAAAAAGUAUCCUGACCUCUGAGAGUCACUCAAUAAAUCACGUCUAUUAUUUACAUUUAUCAUCAUUAUCCUUAACUUUUCCACAUAUCCUUUAUUAGGGAAGAGUUUGUUCUGCUACACUAUUGCUGCUAUGAGUCUUUCUUUCACGACAAAACAGACUCCUGAGUCUUUUUUAUUCAUAUUUUCUCAAUUACUAUUAAAAAGUUAAUUUUAAAUUUCUCAGUAUUUGAGGUUUUAUUUUUUGUGUAUAUAAAUUGACUCAGUAUUAAUUAUAAAUUUUAUUGUCUUAUAAUCACAAAAUUGACCUAUAAAUUUUCCUUCUUUCCAUUUAUUUGCAUUUUUAUCAGGCCAAGUAAAUUAUAAUUUUAAAAUAAGUUUUCAAGGUAAACUUGACUGUUAAUAUUUAAGGUGUAGCAUCACUUAUGUUUUUAAAAUAAAUUUUAGUGUUCACAUAUUCUAGAUUCAUACUUAU